rnacentral:lncRNA from 1 species
AUAACUUUCAGAUUUUUAAAUGUACUAAAAGAAGGAGUCCAUUGCAUACUUAAUUCCUGUGCAAGGUUAUUAGAAAACAGAGCAACACAAAACAUUUCCUUUUUAUUCUCUCUCUCUCUCUCUCUCUGUUUUUGUUUUAGACUGGGAAACAAAAGCAUUGCAUUUCUGCACUAGAUGGUGGGAUGGUGAGAUGCUCAUAAAAAGUCUGAACAUCUAUUGACCCUAUGAUCCAAAAUCUGCAAACAGUCUGGUGACAAUGUCAUUUUCAAGAUAAAUGGGCUUUGGAAAUGCACUUUUCCUAAAUAAUUGAAAAUGGAGCUACACAUUAAAAAAGCAUUUGCUUCUCUAUGUUCUCUUAUACAAAAGAAAUUGUCUGACAGAAUGACUGCAGGCCUGCAUUUAACAGAGAUCUUGAUGUAUGAGAACAACGUGAAAAGUGAAAUGGGAGGAGAGUUUUAGAGUGGCUGUAUGACUAGCAUUCUAAGGCAAGUUGUAUUGUUUCUUUUCUCUGGAUUUAUGAGAAUAACCUUUUGAACAAGAAGAGGCUAUAAAUUGGUACCUGAGGCUGUUUCUGUCAAGAAGCUGCAGGAAAAGGAAAUUUUGUUACACAAGCAUUUUCAAUAUAUUCCUUUCUUUAGUUGUGUAAACCUGAACUGUAAAAUGUGUUUUACAACUAUUUUUUCAUGCUAAAGCACAAGAAUAUGGAAAAUAAAAUAAAAAAUAUUCA